UACGUAGGGUGCGAGCGUUAAUCGGAAUUACUGGGCGUAAAGCGUGCGCAGGCGGUUCGUGAUGUCUGGUGUGAAAGCCCCGGGCUUAACCUGGGAAUUGCAUUGGAAACUAGCGGGCUGGAGAGUGGCAGAGGGGGGUGGAAUUCCACGUGUAGCAGUGAAAUGCGUAGAGAUGUGGAGGAACACCGAUGGCGAAGGCAGCCCCCUGGGCUAACACUGACGCUCAUGCACGAAAGCAUGGGGAGCGAACAGG
rnacentral:rRNA from 1 species